CCUACGGGAGGCAGCAGUGGGGAAUAUUGCACAAUGGACGAAAGCCUGAUGCAGCAACGCCGCGUGAGUGAUGACGGCCUUCGGGUUGUAAAACUCUGUCUUUAGGGACGAAAAUGACGGUACCUGAGUAGGUAGCCACGGAUAACUACGUGCCAGAAGCCGCGGUCAUACGUAGGUGGCGCGGGUUGUCCGGAUUUACUGGGCGUAAAGGGAGCGUAGGCGGAUUUUUAAGUUAGAUGUGAAAUACUCGGGCUCAACUUGAGUGCUGCAUUUGAAACUGGACGUCUAGAGUGCAGGAGAGGAGAAUGGAAUGCAUGGUGUAGCGGUGAAAUGCGUAGAGAUAAGGAAGAACACCAGUGGCGAAGGCGGUUCUCUGGGCUGUAACUGACGCUGAGGCUCGAAAGCGUGGGGAGCAAACAGGAUUAGAUACCCUUGUAGUC
rnacentral:rRNA from 1 species